rnacentral:tRNA from 1 species
GCUAGUGUAGCUUAACCAAAGCAUAACACUGAAGAUGUUAAGACGGGCCCUGAAAAGCUCCACAUGCA